rnacentral:rRNA from 1 species
UACAGAGGUCCCAAGCGUUGUUCGGAUUCAUUGGGCGUAAAGGGUGCGUAGGCGGCGCGGUAAGUCGGGUGUGAAAUCUCGGAGCUUAACUCCGAAACUGCAUUCGAUACUGCCGUGCUUGAGGACUGGAGAGGAGACUGGAAUUUACGGGUGUAAGCGGUGAAAUGCGUAGAUAUCUGGAGGACACCGGUGGCGAAGGCGGCGUUCUGGACUGCAACUGACACUGAGGAACGAAAGCCAGGGAGGCAAACGGG